CCUACUCGCAGGAUUGGACUUAGCCAAGGAGCUAAAAAUCAAGAACCUGGUGAUCAACACAGAUUCACAAUUAGUAGCCGAUCAGAUACAAGGCAUGUAUGAAAUAAAAGAACAGAAUCUAAAGGAUUACAAAGAGGCAGCCCUUAAAGCAAUACAAAACUUUGAUUCAAUUAAAAUAAACCUGGUAAAAAGGGAUUAUUUCGAAGAAGCAGAUGUCUUAGCAAAGAUCGGAGCAGCAAAAACUCAUCUCAGGAGAAAUGGAUACAGGUAAGUAGCCUAAUCUCCCCCUCAAUACAGGAAAAUUUAGAAAUCGCAAUCUCCAAGAAAGAUUGGAGAGAAGAAAUAAUCAAUUUCAUAAAAGGCGCAGAAUUCAAAGGAGACAAGUUCGAAGAAAGAAAAAUCAGAAAUCAAGCAGCUCACUACAUCCUGGAAGAAGAAGAACUAUACAGAAGAGAGACAGAUACCUUUCCGCUCCGCACUUGCGUCGCAAAGGAAGAAGGUAAAGAUAUCGCCUUAAGUAUCCACAACGGAGAUGGUGUCAGAAGACUAUACCUCCAAGUGUCAAGACAAGGAUAUUUCUGACCAUCUAUGAAACAGGACACACGUGAAAUAGUGAAAAAAUGCCCAGAAUGUCAGAAAUACGCAAAUAUACAACAUCGUCCGUCUAUCAAACUAACCUCCCUUAAUACAGUUGUACCUUUCGCCAGAUGGGGAUUGGACAUAAUCGGACCUUUCCCAGUCGCAAGGAAAGGUAGAAAAUAUGCUUUUGUAGCCAUCGAAUACUUCACCAAAUAGGCCGAGGUAGAACCGGUCAAAUCCAUAACUCAGGACAACGCGGUAAAAUUUAUGUUCAGAAACAUCAUCUGCAAAUUCGGAGUCCCAAUUCAGAUUAUCACAGAUAACGGAACACAGUUCGCGGAAAAAGCGAUGAAGAAUUUC
rnacentral:lncRNA from 1 species